UACGUAGGGUGCAAGCGUUGUCCGGAAUUAUUGGGCGUAAAGAGCUCGUAGGCGGUCUGUUGCGUCGGCUGUGAAAACCCGAGGCUCAACCUCGGGCCUGCAGUGGGUACGGGCAGACUAGAAUGCGGUAGGGGAGAUUGGAAUUCCCGGUGUAGCGGUGGAAUGCGCAGAUAUCAGGAGGAACACCGAUGGCGAAGGCAGGUCUCUGGGCCACUACUGACGCUGAGAAGCGAAAGCAUGGGGAGCGAACAGG
rnacentral:rRNA from 1 species